rnacentral:rRNA from 1 species
CCUACGGGUGGCAGCAGUGGGGAAUAUUGGACAAUGGGGGCAACCCUGAUCCAGCCAUGCCGCGUGUGUGAAGAAGGCCCUCGGGUUGUAAAGCACUUUCAGUGAGGAAGAACGCCUGGUGGUUAAUACCCAUCAGGAAAGACAUCACUCACAGAAGAAGCACCGGCUAACUCCGUGCCAGCAGCCGCGGUAAUACGGAGGGUGCGAGCGUUAAUCGGAAUUACUGGGCGUAAAGCGCGCGUAGGUGGCUUGAUAAGCCGGUUGUGAAAGCCCCGGGCUCAACCUGGGAACGGCAUCCGGAACUGCCAAGCUAGAGUGCAGGAGAGGAAGGUAGAAUUCCCGGUGUAGCGGUGAAAUGCGUAGAGAUCGGGAGGAAUACCAGUGGCGAAGGCGGCCUUCUGGACUGACACUGACACUGAGGUGCGAAAGCGUGGGUAGCAAACAGGAUUAGAUACCCUUGUAGUC